rnacentral:pre_miRNA from 1 species
GAGGUACUACCUCCGUCCGAAAAAGCUUGUCUCUUAAAUGGAUGUAUCUAGCACUGGUGCUAGAUACAUCCAUUUGAGGGACAAGCUUAGGACAAGCUUUUUCGGACAGAGGGAGUAUGUG